AUGCCUUCAAUUAAGUUGCAGAGUUCCGAUGGAGAGAUAUUUGAGGUUGAUGUUGAAAUUGCCAAAGUCUAUGACUAUCAAGACCGGGUUGGAAGAUUUGGGAAUGAAUGAUGAAGGAGAUGAUGACCCAGUUCCUCUACCAAAUGUUAACGCAGCAAUAUUAAAAAAGGUCAUUCAGUGGUGCACCCACCACAAGGAUGACCCCCCUCUCCUUCCGAGGAUGAUGAGAACAAAGAAAAGUGGACAGAUGAUAUCCCUCUUUGGGACCAAGAAUUCCUGAAAGUUGACCAAGAAACACUUUUUGAACUUAUUCUGGAUGCGAACUACUUAGACAUCAAAGGUUUGCUUGAUGUUACAUGCAAGACUGUUGCCAAUAUGAUCAAGGGGAAAACUGAGGAGAUCCGCAAGACCUUCAAUAUCAAAAAUGACUUUACUGAAGAAGAGGAAGCCCAGGUACACAAAGAGAACCGGUGGUGUGAAGAGAAGUGAAAUGUUAUGCCUGACACUGUAACACUGUAAGGAUUGUUCCAAAUACUAGUUGCACUGCUCUGUUUAUAAUUGUUAAUAUUAGACAAACAGUAGACAAAUGGCAGCAGCAAAUCAGUUGUUUAAGCAGAAUAUUGUCCUCCUUGCAUGUGUAGUUUGAGUAGGGAUUCCAAACUUAUGGCUGAGUUUCUUCUAGUAUGAUCAAAAGUUUCUUUUUUCUUUGCUCUAAAUAAACCUGAACCAUGGGUUCUCUGUAGAAGGUGGCAUUUGGGGCUUUCCGAAACUCUCUUUGUAAAGCAUUUCUGCCUAGUUUCUUGUCUAGUUAACUUUAGUUUAAUGACCUUUUAAAAGUUGGCAUUGUAAAUAAAACAAGUUGAAAAAAGUUUUCUGACAUAGAAUUAACAACAUAUUCUCUUUAUUCAUGAGUUGGAAACUGGAAAAAGGCUACCUGAGGUAAAUGUUUCAAGCGGGGUUAUUAGGAUGUCUUCCAGCUUCCUGGAGUCAAGGAGUAUCACUGGUAUUGAUUAGCCUGUAUGUAGCAGGGCUCCCUUAAUUGGAUGUAAGGACUUGUUAUUGCAUUUUUAAUCCUCAGCUUUGAAUAUGUUGGCUAGAGACUCAGUUACUACUCAGUUUGUGGUUUUGGGGGGAAUAUAACUAGCCAGUCUGUUAGCUUUUAGAUUAAAAAAGACAAAUAACCCAUGUGGUUAUGUUAUCUUCUUAUAAUUAUUGAUCCCAUGUGGGGGAAACUUCACACUACUUGCAUGUAAAAAAUAAUUUAACCUUUAACGUUAAAAUGUCUGGCAAAACCUAGAAAGCAUCCAUCAUGAAUGCAAGAUACUUUCAGUAAAAAGUAAGUUACGUAGUAGGUGGUAAAUGGUUUGCUUCUGUGUACUUAACUGUGUCUCUUCACUUACUAGUAAAUGAGUUAAGUAUAUGUACGGUUCUGUAGCUGGAGACAGCUUGCAGGCAGUUCAUGUCCUAGCUCGCUGGAGGCUGCUGACCUAAGCCUUGGGUUCUGAUAGACUUGUGUCUCUUCUGAUUGUCAUGAUCUGGUUCCCUGGAGCCAGUGCUUCAGUUCUUAACUGGUGCACGUGGCCGCACAGGACUGCACUCAUUGUUCCCAGCCUCUGCCCUACAGUAGAAGGAAGUUUUCUCGGUGCUUGAGAUGGCUCACAAAUUGUUACGUCUUUUUCGUUCCUCCUUGUGCUCCCUUUUCUCUUGCUUUUCCAUUUAGCAUCAUCUGUAUGCACAUGUAGUCCUACCGCAUUCUCUUUGUGUUUACUGUGGGCUGUUUUGGCUCAGAUUAUUCGCUGAUAGUAGUUUGCCUUUAUACUUCACUUCUCGUUUGCCCUGAAUCUGUAUCUUGUUUAAUAAAGUCCCAUAUACUG